AGAGAGAGAGAGAGAGAGAGGUAGGAAGUGGAAUUUGGUUCUUGUCUUUUCACUAUUCAAAUCUUGUUGGAAUAUUAAAGAACUUGAUUACUGAUGAUAGUUAAAGGCUUCGUCCUGUGUUUUAAAGGGCAAUGGUUAUUAACAGUAAACUCUGCGAAGAUUUUCCGUUUCUGGCUCAGCUAGCCUGCUUUAUUUAUUCAUCUAGAUUUUGUCGUUAUGUGUUCUUUUUCCCGUUAUUAUAUACUUAUACCCAUUUUCAUAUGGAACCCUUCAAAGGAGUCAUGGCAUGAGUUUCCGGCGAGGGACAAAAAGCAUGAGACCCCUCCUUUCUCUUCUCCCGUAUUUUCUACAUUUU
rnacentral:misc_RNA from 1 species